AACGAACGCUGGCGGCGCGUCUUAAACAUGCAAGUCGAACGGCAGGAAGGGGCUUGCCCCUUCUGAGAGUGGCGGACUGGUGAGUAACACGUGGGUGACAUACCUUUUAGUUGGGGAUAGCUAUUAGAAAUAGUAGGUAAUACCGAAUGUGACCGUACCUGUUAGAGGGGUACGAGGAAAGGAGCUAAGGCUUCGCUAAAAGAAUGGCUCGCGGCCCAUUAUGCUUGUUGGUGAGGUAACGGCCCACCAAGGCGAUGAUGGGUAUCCGGCCUGAGAGGGUGAACGGACACAUUGGGACUGAGAUACGGCCCAGACUUCUACGGGAGGCAGCAGUUAAGAAUAUUCCGCAAUGGACGAAAGUCUGACGGAGCGACGCCGCGUGGAUGAAGAAUGCCGAAAGGUUGUAAAAUCCUUUUAAGCCUGAUGAAUAAGCACAAUAGGGAAUGAUUGUGCGGUGACCGUAGGGCUUGAAUAAGCACCGGCUAAUUACGUGCCAGCAGCCGCGGUAACACGUAAGGUGCGAGCGUUGUUCGGAAUUAUUGGGCGUAAAGGGCAUGUAGGCGGAUAGGCAAGCUUGGUGUGAAAUGUUACAGCUUAACUGUGAGACAGCAUUGAGAACUGCAGAUCUUGAAUUACUGAAGGGUAACCAGAAUUCCACGUGUAGGGGUGAAAUCUGUAGAUAUGUGGAAGAAUACCAAUGGCGAAGGCAGGUUACCGGCAGAUAAUUGACGCUGAGGUGCGAAAGUGCGGGGAGCGAACAGG
rnacentral:rRNA from 1 species